rnacentral:tRNA from 1 species
UGAUUGUAUACUGGUUAGUACAUUGCGUUGUUGCCGCAAUAACCCAGGUUCGAAUCCUGAUCA